AUCUACGGCUAUAGAAUCUAUGAAACACUGCAUCCCGUUAGCUCUGCACAGUUUAAGUUGGAUAUCGCUCAGUCAGUACCAAGGUCGGGGACGACUUGGGAAUCCUGGGUGCUGUAGUUC
rfam:Cryptococcus bestiolae CBS 10118 unplaced genomic scaffold supercont1.2, whole genome shotgun sequence.